GAAAAAUCAUUCUCAUUCAGUUACAACCUGAUUUAGAUCAUCUCUGACAAUGAAGACCUUUCUUCUCGCUCUUUGCUUGGUGUUGAUUGGUAUGGUGUAUGCCAAAGACGGUUAUCUGGUUAGCAGACACACUGGAUGUAAACUGAGUUGCGCACCGGUGAUUGGAGACAGGUAUUGCAGCAUUGAAUGCAAAUCUAUGAACCACAAAGGGGAUGAAGGCUACUGUUACGCCUUGGCUUGUUAUUGCAGAGGAAUGCCAGAAAAUGCGGAAGUUUACCCUCUUCCCAAUAAAUCCUGUGGAAAAUAAAAUCACUCUCUACUCGCUCUCGGCAAUUAUAAUGAUUGUAAUUUCCUUUAACUUUGAGACGUCGAAAUAAACUUUCGAAGCAUUAACUUGA